rnacentral:misc_RNA from 1 species
GAUGAAGAACGCAGCGAAAUGCGAUAAGUAAUGUGAAUUGCAGAAUUCAGUGAAUCAUCGAAUCUUUGAACGCACAUUGCGCCCCUUGGUAUUCCGAGGGGCAUGCCUGUUCGAGCGUCAUUAUAACCCCUCAAGCUCAGCUUGGUGUUGGGGCCUGCUGCACUGGCAGCCCUUAAAAUCAGUGGCGGCGCCAUCUGGCUCUAAGCGUAGUAAUUCUUCUCGCUAUGGAGUCCUGGUGGAUGCUUGCCAUCAACCCCCAAUUUUUCUAUGGUUGACCUCGGAUCAGGUAGGGAUACCCGCUGAACUUAAGCAUAUCAAUAAGCGGAGG